rnacentral:rRNA from 1 species
GACGAACGCUGGCGGCGCGCCUAACACAUGCAAGUCGAACGAGCGAGAGAGAGCUUGCUUUCUUGAGCGAGUGGCGAACGGGUGAGUAACGCGUGAGGAACCUGCCUCAAAGAGGGGGACAACAGUUGGAAACGACUGCUAAUACCGCAUAAGCCCACGACCCGGCAUCGGGUUGAGGGAAAAGGAGCAAUCCGCUUUGAGAUGGCCUCGCGUCCGAUUAGCUAGUUGGUGAGGUAACGGGCCACCAAGGCGACGAUCGGUAGCCGGACUGAGAGGUUGAACGGCCACAUUGGGACUGAGACACGGCCCAGACUCCUACGGGAGGCAGCAGUGGGGAAUAGUGCACAAUGGGGGAAACCCUGAUGCAGCGACGCCGCGUGGAGGAAGAAGGUCUUCGGAUUGUAAACUCCUGUUGUUGAGGAAGAUAAUGACGGUACUCAACAAGGAAGUGACGGCUAACUACGUG